UACGUAGGGUGCGAGCGUUAAUCGGAAUUACUGGGCGUAAAGCGUGCGUAGGCGGUUCGCUGUGUCCGAUGUGAAAGCCCCGGGCUUAACCCCGAGCCUGCAGUGGAUACGGGCAGACUUGAGGCAUUCAGGGGAGAACGGAAUUCCAGGUGUAGCGGUGAAAUGCGUAGAUAUCUGGAGGAACACCGGUGGCGAAGGCGGCAUCCUGGACCAAUACUGACGCUGAGGAGCGAAAGCCAGGGGAGCAAACGGG
rnacentral:rRNA from 1 species